rnacentral:lncRNA from 1 species
AUCCUUCAUAGAUGGUCUUAAACAUUUUGUUUGAUAUAUUUGGGAUUUGUGCUGUGAUUAACUUUAAUUCCUUAUGAUUCAAGAAAAAGUGAUUCUAGUAAUAUGACAUUUUAUAUAAUACGUGCUAAAAUAUUAUUAAAAAAUUCACUGAAAGUAUUGAAAUUCGUGUACCUGUAUGAAGGCAUUGUCCUGAUUAACUAAUGGUUUUAUAUUUGAUGUCUUACAGGAAGUCGAAGUAUUGAACACGGUGUUGUAAACUCAUUCAACAACGAAGGCAAUGGGUUACAGGACUUCAGCAAUUCAACAAUCAUAGUUGGAAGUUGUAGCUGUACCUCAACUUGUGUGCAACUGAAGACUCAUCAAACUGGUUUGAUUAAGAAAAACAUUGAAACUGUAUGAGACAUGUUAAACCUUUAAGAUGAGGCCAUAAUGUUUUCAAACAGUUAUUGACUGAAGAACCCUUUGGAAAACAAAGUAGCCAUUAGCCAAUAGGGUUGAAGAAAGCUCAAUUUUUGGAAAUCUUUCUAUCAUGCUGAUAGUUGAUUGUAUUUUGGCACUUUAGAUGAACUUGGUAGUUGAGUGGUCCCCAGAAGCAGGACCAAUUUGUAUUUUGAUUAUUUAAAGUGACACCAAUCUUCUCUCACAUAGAAGGCUCCAAGAGUUGGUUCCACCACUUCUUUGAUCUCGGCUUAGGGCACUUCUGGUUCCAUUAAUUAAGGGUUAGUGUGGUUCUGUUCUACUACAAUUAUGUCUUCUUAGUCUGUUGGACUGAGAACCAGAAUGAAGUGUAACACUACAUUCAAUGCCCACUUACUAAUCAUUACCACAUUUUAUAUCUUGCAAGAAGGAAGUCAUUAGAAACUCAUUCAAUAAUGAGGGUAACGCCAACCAAUAUUUUCACAACACGACAAUCAUAAUUCUUGUAUGAAUUUAAAGUUUCAUUUUUCUGGUCAUGGCAAACUUUUUUUUUAUAAAACCCAAGGAAAAAUAUAAUUUAUUUUUUUUACAGUGAUCUAAACUUUGUUUCUGAAUAGUAAUUCAGUCUCGAAAAGUUAUGGUUAGUUUAUUAAGACUGAUCUUAAAAAUUUCUUUAAUGUUCUCUUGAUUUCAUAUUCUCCUCAGCUUAGUCUUAAUACAAAGUUCUUUAUCUUUUUUUUUCAUAAUUAGUACUCCAAAAAAUAGUUUGAAUUUUUAAGAAGAUAAUUAAUCCUUCAUAUCCCAUGUUCUCUUAGCUCUGUUGUAAAUUGAACCUAAAACGCCAAAAUGAAGAGAUAUUGCAAAAAAAGGGCUGUGAACUCUAAAUCCACGUCUGCAAAGUUGAAAGAGAAACGAAAGGGAGUUACUCAUAAUUUCCUUUCUUUCUCGAGUGGUUCAGAGAACGUUGUGGAACGUUUCAAGAGCCACUACGAGAAAAUCAUGAAAUAAAAAUCAAUUUUAGAGACAAAAUAAUUAGUUACUAUAGUGACUAAAUUAGAGACCAUUUUAUGGACUAAAUAAAUUUUUGGUUUCUAAAUUAGUUUCUAUUAUUGUUAAAUGGUUUCUAAAUUGGUAUCUAAUUAACAACCAAGGUUUUUGCUAUCAAAUUUAGAAACUAAAUAAUUGGUAGUUAAAACCUUGGUAGCUAAUUAGAUACCAAUUUAAAAACUAUUUAACAAUAAUAGAAACUAAUUUAGAAACCUUUAGUUUCUAAAAUGGUAUAUAAUUUAGUUACUAUUACAACUAAUUAUUUUUUGUCUUUAAAAAUUUGUUUCUAUUUGAUAAUUUUCUUGUAGUGGUCUCAGAUGGUUGGCUCCUCCAUUCAUGCAGGUCUUCCUCCAUCUCCAACGGUCGCUAAAUUUCGGCGGCCUAACAAUGUCACUAAUCUUGGUUUUGAAGUUGGGGCAAUUUAGUUUUCUCCAUCAAUAAAUAACGCCUCCCUUUGCUCUGAAAAUCAUCUCUCACUCACGCUUCUUAUUUUUUUUCUCUUCCUCUCUUACUCUUCACUCAUUUAUUAUUUUAUUUUACUUUAUAAUUUUUUGGAUUUGUUGGGUUCUUACUCUUUUAAGAGUAGUUUGCUAGUUCUGAUUCUUGGAAAUUUUCUGUUGUAUCUUGAAAGACUUGCACAAUACACCACAUAUAAGUUCUUUCAAACAUUGAUCACUCACGUCUCGGAAAAUCAACUUUUGAUAAUGUUUUAAAGUGUCAUUUACCACAAAUUAUUUGCACAUCUUGUAUGAAUUUAUUUCAUUAGUCAUGAUCAUUUAAGUAAUUUCUUCCCCGAAUAAUGUGAGAAAAUGAUCUUCACCACUUUAAUUAAGAUGCUACACAUUUUCCUUUUAUAAAUUGGUUAUAAUUAUUAUAAUGACAAAUUAUAUUAUUACAAAGAGAUAAUAUGUUAUUAUGUUGCAUAAACUUAAUAUGAUUUAUUAUGCAUUAGUAUUAAUUAUGAUUUAAAUCUCAUUUCCAAUCAUUAUUAUUUAGGAAUAGUCCUUGAAAAAUUGUAGUGGAAGUUUUAUGAAUGAUAAUAAAAAAAAUGUAAAGGAGCAAGUUAUUUAUUUGAAAACUAAUUAUACAAAAAGAAGUUAAAAAUGAAUACUUCAUUAAUUAUAUGGGCAUUUAUUAUUCUGAUAUUUUUUAAUUUGGAGAUUUGCUAAGAUACUUUGGAACUAAUUCAAUUAUAAGGGAGAUUAGAAUGAGAAAGCGUUAAACCUACAGGUGGGAGAAGUUGCCACAGAUGAAGAGCUUGUGAGUGGAACCCAUUUUUUGUUUGUUUUGGAAUAUGCAUUUGUUUGUCGUUGGACUAAUAUGCAUUUAAAAAUUCAUUCACAAGUGUCUAUUUCCUAAUUUCUAUUCAAGAUGCAAAAUAUUUGAGUGUGUUGUGUCUCGCUCUGUGUUGUGUUCGUUAAAAGAAAUAAGGAAAAUGAUAUAAUGACAAUCUUGUUCCAGUAUACAAUUCUAUUUUUUUAUCUAAAAUUUUAAUUUUUAUAUGAAAUGAUAAAAAUAUUUUUUUUAUAUCAUAAAUAAAGAGUUGUAGAGUGGGGCUUGUCCAUCUAUCAUUGCUCAAGAAAUAAAGUAUUUUUGUGUACACAAUGAUUUUGGCAUUAAUGGCUACAUUCUUUUCUACCCAAUGGAGCUACACUUGUGCCCUUGAUGUGUGGUAUCGCAUUCACUGCUUCAUCGUUUUCGGUAACUUGUUUUCUCUUUCUAAAGAUUAUAAAACGAAAAAGAUACGCCCAAUUAUGGAUGGCAAAGUGGUGGUACAAUAAGACCGUAUAACUCACUCUAUCUGAUAUGCAGAUUCAAUGGGUCACACAUGGGGAGUGGGGAAAUCUCUUUGUUCGGAUUUCUUUAUUUUUAUAUUUUUAUUUAUUGAAUUAUUAGUGAUAUUGAUUUUGUUUUGUUAGAUAUUUUUUUAUUAGAGCUUAAUUCUCUAUUUAGCACCAUUUACACUUUUAUUUUCCUAUCUAGCACCCUUUUGUUUUUAUUUUCCUAUCUAACACCCUUUCAAAAAUAAAUAAAUAAAUGUUAAAUUAAUUUUAUUUUAUAAUUUUAAUUUUGAAUACAUUAAAAAAUAAGUAUUUUUAAUGUUUAAAAUAGUUAGAAAUAUAAUUAAUGAAUAAAUAAAUGAGUUUUUACAAAAUAAAAAUAAAAAAGUAAUAAAUUAAAAAUGUUUAGUUUAAAUGUUUUUUUAAGAAUGAAGAAAAUAAAAAAUUAAACUCUAUAACAACAUAAAAGUUGAAUCUAUAAACAUAAAUUAGUAUUUAUUUUUAUUAUUAUUGAUGAUGUAAUCAUGUUAAUUUCAAGUAAAAAAUACAGGACAUAAUUAUCAAAAAAUCAAUAUUGAAAUGUCUAUCCUUAAUGCAAAAUCCUACAAAAAAAACUAAUGCAAUUGUUACACUUAAUGCUUAAAAAUGAGAAGAAAAAAAAUGUAAAAAUAAAUAAAUAUAGAAAAUAAAAACAACAACAUUGCAACAGAUUUUUCAUGAUACGAAAAACUAUUUGAUGGAACUCAUAAAUGAAGAGUAUUGACCUCCAUACACUGGUCAAAUACUAUGCCCAAGUCUCGACAUGAAAAUAACUUCAAAGGGAAGACUUAAGUCAAGUCGAAUAAGGACUGAUAUUGACAUAAGAGAACAACAUGAUCGAACAAAAAAAUGUUUAUAUUGUCAAACACCAGGACACACAUAAAGAACAUGUCCCAACAUUAUUGGAUUGUGUUUUUCUCGUCCUUAAUUAUGUUUCAUUUCGCACAAACUAUUUAAUGUACCAUUGAAGAAAAUAUUAAAUGAAUGAUCAUCUUUCAUGUAUUUUUCUUUUUAUAAUCAACAUCUACUUGUUUAGUAUCGCCUUAUGUCUCUUAUCUUUAUCUUGUUUGGAUUUUUUUUUUAUAUCUUGUAUAUUUAUCUUAUCUUGUUUUUCCUUUAUUUUAUAUCUUAUAUGUUUUUAGUUAUUAUUUUUUCUGUCAUUUUUUAUUUAUUUUUGUUUUUAUUUUAUUAUUGUUGUUUUUAUUUUCUAUACUUAUUUAUUUUUUCAUUUUUUCCUUCUUAUUUUUGAGCAUUAAGUGUAACAUUUGCAUUAGUUUUUUUUAGGAUUUUGCAUUUAGGGUAGACACUUCAAUAUUAUUUGUGUGUCCACUAUUAAUUAAUACUAAUUGACUUUGGUUUUUUUAUAAUUAUGUCCUGUAUUUUUUACUUGAAAUUAACAUUAUUACAUCAUCAAUAAUAAUAAUAAAAAUACUAAUUUAUGUUUAUAGAUUCAACUUUUAUGUUGUUGUAGGGUUUAAUUUCUUAUUUUCUUCAUUCUUAAAAAAAUAAUUUUAAACUAAACAUUUUUAAUUUAUUACUACUUUUUUUUAUUUUGUAAAAACUCAUUUCUUUAUUCAUUAAUUAUAUUUCUAACUAUUUUAAACAUUAAAAAUACUUAUUUUUUAAUGCAUUCAAAAUUAAAAUUAUAAAAAAAAAAAAUUUAUUAUUUAUUUAUUUAUUUUGGAAUGGUGCUAGAUAGGGAAAUAAAAAACAAAAGGGUGCUAGAUAGGAAAAUAAAAACAAAAGGGUGCUAGAUAGGGAAAUAAAAGCAAAAGGGUGCUAGUUAGAAAAAUAAAAGUGUAAAUGGUGCUAGAUAGGGAAUUUACCCUUUUAUUAGAGUAUUAAAGUUUAAUUAAUUUUUUUUAUGGUUCAAAAAGUAAUUUAGGGGACUACAACUAAGUAAAUAGGUCUAAAAUAAAAAUAAAAAAGUAGCUGGAGAGUUCACCAACCCUUCAUGGAUCACCAAUUUUAAUCCAUAUAACUUAGAUAGAUUAAUCGAUUUAUCUCAUUUUUUAUGAAUCAGACCAAAACAUACAAGUCACCCCGUUUUGUAAAUCUUACACCAUGACAUCAUUCAAUUUUAUAGGUCUUUGUUUUAAAUUAUUUAAUUUUAAAUAUUUUGUUAGAUAACUAAAUUUAAAUUUAGUAAAUUUUAUUCUUAUUGUUUGAAUAAAAUAUUUCAAUUAUAUUAAAUUAAAAAAAAAAAAUUAAAUAUUACAAUUAAAAAAAUAUUAAUAUUAAUAUUAAUAAUAUUUUGUAGUGAAUUUUAAUUGAUGUUGUUUUUUUUUAAUUAAAGUUCGUCAAGAUUUUUCAUUUGAUAUUUGUAAAAAAAUUAUCAAUUGAUGUUAUGACAUUGUUUCACUUGGAGUACAAUUAUUUAGGAUGACUUUUGAUGAAAGUUUUUUUACCAUGUUUACGGUUGGGGAUUUUUCCCUAUCUUUUUUAUAUCAAUGUGAGCUGAAAAAAUUUCACUAUUUUGACAUUGGUAAAACAAAACAAUCUUAAUUAAUAUUUAGGUUAAAGUUUAGUUAAUAUUAAAAAAAAAAUUCUUAGCAAACUAUUGGAAAAAAUCUCUAUUGAUGAUGAAAAAUCACUGCAAAUAUUGAUAAAAAGAAAUAAUCAUGAUAGAGAUUUAUUGAAAAAAUAUAAUUCACCUCCCUAAAAAAAAUAUUUCCGACAAAUAAAAUUUUAACUAAACAAUGAAUUAUAUUGUUCUAGAAAAAAUUCUAACAAACUUCUAUAAAACAACUCCAAUCACAUCAAUAAAAAGAAUUUAUAUUUGACAUUAACCAAAAAAUAAUAAUCUUAAUUAAUAAUAUUUCAAUCUUAGUCAAGCUAAUAACACCCUAAUUAAAAUCAAAAUAAGAAAAAACAAUGAAGAUCAAAACAUGAAUUUGAGUAUAUGAAAAAUUUAAUAUUUUUUCCUAAAUUAAAAUAUGAAAUUCUAUAAUUUUAAACAAUCAAAUUACUUUAAAAAAAUUAAAAUUAAUUUCUUGUUAAAUUUUUUAUCCAAACAACAUAUUUUAUCACAAAACAUUUAAAAUUUUCUGAAAAAAUAAUUGUGUUUUUAAAAUUUCUCGCCGAAACACACUAUUAAUGUAUAGCAAGAAAUGGAAUGUUUUGAAAAUAAAAUUUUCUGUAAGUUUUCUUCUGCAUUAAAAUUCCAUGGUUAGGCGUUAUUUUUUUCCUGACAAAACUCUGGAGUCAUCAUUUGUGACUUUUAUAAUUAAUAAAAGUGCUGAAUUACUAAUUGGGCUGGACUCUAGAACAAGCGGUAUUGUUUUCAGCCCAAUUAGUCUAAAUCCUCGUUUUGCAUUUUUAUACCUCCCUUCCUUUCACUUUUUUGUCAAUUUUGAUGGAAACUAACUUCUGUGAUAUAAUUCUUUUAAUAGAUUGUGAAAAAUACAUUCUUCAAAGUGGUGUUUUCAAAAAAUACAUUUUAAAAGUAAACGGGCAACGCAAAAAAAAAAAACAGAAAGAAAGAAGUUAACAAAAUCAACGUAAAUAGUAUAGGCCUUUUUUAUGCGUAGAUAAUGAAAUCCAUCUUAAUACCCAAUUCCAUAGCCACAACGCUAUGAGCUGUCUUGCUUAAAAUAAAGGAAAAAAGACAAAUUCUCUUUGCACCUCCAUACUGCAUCUUUAUAUUUUUUUUUAAUUUAAGAAUACCUUUCUAAGUAUGGUAGAAAGUGUUGGGUAUUCUUCUUUAUUUUCUAGUGGUGGUGGUUACUUAAGGUGAUUGGUGAUGAAUAUUAGUGAUUGAGCUAAGUUUUAUGUUGUUUUUACUAGUGGUGAUGGUGUUUUUGUUCCAUUAUUUAAUUUUUCAACUUUUUUUGAAGCCACAAAACCAAAAAAAGAACAACAAGGUGCAAAAAUGAAGUGAAAUAUUCAAAAAAGAGUUUAUCUUUGCAUUGGAGAAUGUUAAAUACAAUGAAUCUUCUCGCCAAGACUCUUACACUCAAAUAAUGAAAUUAUUCUCUCAAACGCUAUGACUGGAAAAUAAUGAAAGUGUUGCGACCAAAAGGAUACAAGGGUGCAAGAAUGCAAAUGAGAUUAUUUAAAAAUGUAAGGUUAUGCUUUAUUUAUAAUUUUUUUAAAUUUUUUUUAGAAAAAUUUAAAAAUAUUUUUCACAAUUAAUAUGGAGGUGUGAGAUGUACGGAAAUUAAUAAAUUUUUUUUUCUUAAUUAUUCUUGAAUUAUUAGAAUUAUUAUUAUUGUUCUCUUUUUUUAGUUUAACUAACAUUUAUUAUUAAUUUUUAGUUUGUAUGAAACAACAUUAAAUUACAUUUUGUAGGAGAUAGGAACAUAUUAACCUACCUGUACGGGUGUUGAUAAUAUAUAUUCUCUCCUUUAUUGAAUAUAGUUAAUAUAUAUUCUCGUCAAAACUCGAGCUCGAAUGCUUAGAUGUUGUAUCCGAGACAAUUCCUUUACAACUGUAAGGUUUGAGUGUUUGGAGGUCGCACUGAGAUGAGGGGAGUUCUAUUUGUUGACAAUAUUUUGACGAUCAAGUUAGUGAAAACUCGAGCUCGAAUGCUUAGAUGUUGCAUCCAAGACAAUUCCUUUACAACUACAAGGUUUGAGUGUUUGGAGGUCGCACCGAGAUGAGGGGAGUUCUACUUGUUGACAAUACUCUAACAAUCAAGUUAGUGAAAACAUAAAAAUAUCAAUGUAGUAUGUAUUGCAUAGAAUAAUAUUCCUCUUAUUUUUUGGGGUCAUCCUCUAUUUAUAGAAUUUUUCAUCAGAAUAAUAUCACAACAUAUUUAAAUAAUAACAAGCAUAUCUUUUAUGUUCAGAAUAAUAUCACAACAAAUUAAAUAAUAACAAUCAUAUAUUUUCUUUUAUCGAUAUAACCCGGACAGUACACAAUAGUCUAGCCUCAAGCCGAGCGAGCGAGGUGAUGAGGUUAUAGUAAAUAUUCACAUUAAAAACCUUUGCAUUAAAAGUGGUUUUGCACGUGACUCAAGGCAUUAUAUCACAAGACGUGGAUUUGUUAGUUAUUAAUGCAGUCCGAUCGUAGUCGUCGACCAAGUUAGUCCACCCGUACAAAUGUCGUUGACCAACUUAAUUCAAUCUUAGGAUUUGGCCAAAUUGGUUUGCCCGAGAAAUGUCUUUGAUCCACUUGGUUUGAUCUUAGGAUUCAACCAAGUUGGUUCGUCCAUAGAAAUGUCGUUGACCCACUUGAUCCGAUCUUAGGAUUCGACCAAGUUGGUCCGCCUAUAGAAAUGUCGAUAACCCACUUGGUUCGCUCUUAGGAUUCUGUCAAGUUGGUUCGUCCGUAGAAAUGUCGUUGACCAACUUGGUUCGAUCGACAUUCCAGAAUUUUCCCAUUUUCGCUUGAACAAAAUUUCAUUUUGUUUGAGCGAAAAUGGACUAAAAAGUACUUUAGAAUUGUUAUUUUAUUAAAUAUACUAGACCAAAGUAAUAAUUUCCCUGCUAGAGUUAGAUAGUUACUCUAAAUCAAAAUCACACCACCAAUACUUAGCAACAUUAUCCUUUAAGUAAUUCAUCAAACUAUUUACAUUCAUUCAUUUACUUAUUCACAUCAAAACAAUAUAAUUUUAUAACAUCUACCAUGUCUAAAAUUUCGCAUUCUAAUCUCAAUCAAAUUCUAACAUACUCAAAAUAACCAAUCAUGCAAGAAAUUUUGAGACUGGUGACCACGUUACCUCUACAUCCAGAUAUUCUAGCGUAGGGUUCUAUUUGAAAUUUGAAACUAGCUUCCCUUACCUGAACUUGAGCAAAUGUUCACUAAGAGCUCCAAAUCCUAUAAUUCUUCUAGGGUAACUUAACCUCACCAUAGAGUCUUGAUAAAAAUCUAACUACAUCAUUAUGACCUUGACAGAGAUUAAUUAUGAAGAUAAAAGUAUUACAUGCAAGCUUAAACUAAAGGCAAACCUAACGAGAUAAAAAAGAACUCAAAGAAAAAUGAGUCAAAAUGAACUUAAUUUAUUUAAAAAUUUGACAAGGUAAAUCUUAUACAGUUUACUACCAAGAGUUCAAUGAUAGACUCCGAUUAUUGAUAUGAUGAGCAAGGAUGUUAAAAUCUAAGAGAAAAAAGAGAGAAAAGAAAAAAUAAUUUUUUUUAAAUAAUGAUCCUUUUAAAAUAACACCCGAAUAACUGAAUUUUUAUAUUUAUAUAGACUUUUUACUUUAAUAAUAAAUAUUUCGGUGUCAUUUUAAUUAUCAUUUCUUCUCUAAAAUUAAUUUUCUCAGUACUUACAACAAAUAUAUUUACCUUAAUAAAUACACAAAAGAAAAAGAAAGAUUAUAAAGCUAGAAUUUUGUAUUGAUGAGUUUUUGUCCUUCUUCAAUCAUCCAUUUUAACUAUAUCUUUAAAUUAAAAAUUGCUAAAGUAAAUUAACUCAACCAGUUUCAAAUUCUUAUAAUAACUUACCGAGCACUCUUAUUAUAAUUUACAAUUUUUCAUUUGUUUUUAUAGAAAGAAGAAAAAACAGUGUCUUGAAGAAUAGCUAAAGGAAAUAGUUUUCUGCUUCUUUUUUUUGUUUUAAAAUUUGAAACUUAAUAUUGUUAACAGCUUUUUCCUCUAAACAAUUUCCAAAAUUAUGCCCAUUUUUUAAGAUUAUGGUAGAGUAAGAGCAUCACCAAACUAUUAAGUCAGAUAUACUUCUUUAUCAUGCUUGGUUUUAUUAUUAUUAAUACUAUUAUUUUAUAAUUAUUAUUACUUUAUUUUAUUAUAAUUAUAACUAUUUUAUUAUAAAAUAAAGGAUUAUAAUAAAAUAAAGUAAUAAUAAUUAUUUUAUUAUAAUUAUAAUAAAAUAAAACAAUUAUAAUUAUAAUAAAACAAAAUAACUUAUAAUAAUAAUAAUACUGAUAUAAACUGGUUUAGUAAUUUUGAUGAUAUUCUCAUUCUAUGAUGAUCUUAUGUUUGACUUUUAUUUCUUUAUUUAAAAAUUUAGUCUAAAUGACAAGGGUCUGUCCUGUUUAUUAUAAUGGUUUCGUGUUAUCUUUUAUUUUAUUAUAUUAAAGUUAAUUAUCUUAUAAUGGUUUUUUUAUCAAAUAAAAUAAAAUAUAAUACAAUUGUGAUUAUGUUAAUUAUUUUAUAUAAUUAUAUAUAUUAAAAUAAUUUAAUUAUCACUACUACUGUCCGAAAAGAAGGAAGUUUACAGGUUUAAUUAUUAAUGGACAAAAUGUUACUCAUUUCUUUUUGUGUUUUUGAAGUUUCAUAUAUUAAAUUUUUAAUAUGAUAUUUAUAUUUAAAAAAAUAAUUUUAAUUCUUUUAACUAAGACGUUAACUUCAAUAUAAUAUUUUGUGAUUAUUUUGAAAAUUUCUAUUUUAGUCCGUAUUAAUUAAAACCUUAAAAAGACUAUUAGACAAUCAAUUUUCUGAAUAUAUUUAAUAUGUGUUGAAAUAAAUCAAAAAGACAUUUUAAAAAAUAUAAAGUAAAUUUUAAAAAAAAUUGUGCACUGGGACACAUAAUUCCCAAUUCACCGACACAUUUGUAGGAACUGAACAUAGUGGUACUCUACUAUUUCCUCUUUAACAGAGCUACUGAUACCUACAGGUUAACAUGCCUUGUCUAUUCUCCUCCAUCUUCGGAAAAGCACUGACCUUUAUGAGAAAAAAAUUGUGAAAAGAUGGUGAUACUCAUAUAAAUUUUUGUAUGAAUUUUACAGAAAUAGUAUAUGCUUCAAUAACUUGGCUUUGACCGCUUGCACGUUCUUAGAGUAUAUUUUACGCCAUUGGUCCACCUGUGCCCUACUGUUGUUGGUUUUAGUAUUAGAAUAUUCUGUACUUGUCUCUCCUCUUUAAAUACAUGAAAGAAGAUUUAGAAAGUGUGAAUCUAAAAAUAGAUUCCUUCUUCUAUCAAAAAAGCUCUCUUCUUCUGUUAAUUUUUCAGUUUUUGAUAUAUGUCAAACCAGCGGAUGUAAAGUGAUGAAUUCAUUCAACAACAACAAUCAGGACAAUGGCACUCAGAACUUCACUAAUGCCAAAAUCAUAAUUACUGGAGGUUAUUGCUGUUGCUGUACUUCGUUUGAUUUGCAUGGUAUCAUUAAACUAAACAAAUACUCUGUUUUUUUUUUUGUCUGUAUUAGGUCUUUCUCAGGUACUGGUCUCUCAAUCAAGACUUCGACGAAUUCCCCUUCACUUCUAAGUCACUAUUCCCUAACAACAUUUUUAGAUUCUCCAUAGCCACUUUCCACUGUUUACUACAAAGACAGUAAUGGAAGCUUCUUCCACCGGAUCCAAUUCCAGUGACGUCUUUGUAUCUUCUCCUUUUGGGUGUCAACUAUUUUUCCAAGCAGAUUAGAUCUGAACGUCUGUGCCUUAUUUUGUGUUCAGCACCAGGUCUCAAGUAUUUAUGCAAAAAGUCCCUUAAACGUCAAGUAAUUUACAGUGUUUAUACUGUCAAGAAGCGCUGCAAAAUAUACCGUGAUAUUUUUGGUCUAACACAGUGACUAUACUCAUAGCCGCUAUCCUACACUCAUUUUUUACAUUAAUUCAAAACACGUUACUUACGCUCGUAUCUUCUUCUUCGCGCGCGUUUUCCUUUCUUUUUUAUCUUUUGAGGUUUUUGUAAGUUUCUCUCAUUCACUCACUUAUUCUUCUGCAUCCUCCAUUGCUUUUUUUUUUCCUCUUAUUAUUUAUUUGUUUCUGCAUCUUAUUUUGUUUCAUUGUUUAGGGUUUCCUUGUGCCUCCAUUGAUCUUCAUCGUUGCUAGUCGUCUCUGCUCUUCACCACCACCACCUUCACGUACAAGGUUGGUGGUAUUUUUUUAUAUUUUUAAUCAUUGUAAAAUUUAUUUAAAAUAGGUAGAAAGUGAUUUUUAUUCAAUUUUUUUGGAAAUUUCAUUUAGAAUAUAUUUGAUGGAGGAGUCCUCACAUUGAAGAGAAAAGUGAUAGAUUUGGAAUCGUCAAGAAGUAGUGUGAAAAUGAAAGUUGCUCGAGAUGAGAAGACAAGGCCCUUGGCCAAUACCCAAAGGGAAUUGAGUUCACUAAAAAUUCCAAAAAUCCAUCAUUUACUAUUAUUUAUUUUAUUUUUUUUUUGUAUUAUUUAGGUCUUUUUUAAAGUUUAGGAGGUUUUAGUUCUCAUACUUAUACUAAUAAAAAAAUUCUGAAUUUUUUUAUUUAUUUUUUCCAGUAUAAAUUAGUGAUUUAUCAAUAGUGUAUGAGUUACAUAAAUAAAUAGGAAUAUGUUAUUAUAGUGUUUGUAAUACAUUUUAUCAAUGUAUAUAAUUUGAUUCUUUGAAUAUAUGUAUCUAGGCUAACUGAGUUUUAAUUGUACGAGUUACUUUAGAUGGGAUUAGUAUUAAAAAGAAUGAACUAAAAAAAUAAAAAAUAUUCAUCUAAAAUGGUGGUUAUGGUAAAAUAAUCGUUGUUUUAAACCUUUCAGGAGAAUCUAAAACGACAGCUUUUACUAUAGUCAUAUUCUUUACUCUGGAACAUAAGACUGUGUGCUGAUCAACAACGGCUAGGAAAUCGUCGUUUUAAGGUUAAAAUAGCUGCCGUUUUUAACUAUUUUUGCAGUAGUGGAUGAAUAGAAUCUUCAUAUGUUCUCAUGAGCUGGUGCUGUAAUUCACAAGGAUUCUUAUGUUGAAGCUAUGCGCAGGAUAUAAACAAAUUAAGGAUAAAAGUUAAAGAGAUAUAAACCAAGUUCUCUUAUGUCUGUAUUAAGGAGGAAGCGUGAAAGAUAACUUCUCACCCAAAUUUCUCUAGAAUUGUUAACUUUACAUGUAUAUUGAGGUUUCCCAAAUUCUUCUUAGGGUCCAAAACAAUUUGUUUGAUGUAUUUGGGAACUUUGUUCUGACUCCUUUGGAUUUGAUUUAUCUUCCUUGAGUAUGCAUAUCUAUAUGUUGUUUUCUUAGGCAUAAGACCGUCAGAGUAACAAGAGAAUACAUAAAUGAGAUCUUGAAUUCUCUGGACAAAAUGCGUGUUACAGGGCAAUAUGAAUUAGCUUUUUUGGUUUCUAAAUUAUCUUGGGAUUGGGGUUUCAGUAACCAACAUGAAAUAUGAUACACUUAUACUUCAAUCUGUGUCAAAUACAAUACUUAUCAUUGAAGUAUCUAUAAAGUAAUAAUAUAUCACUUAUAGUAUCCGCUUAUUUUCAAAAUAAGCGUACCGUAUUCAAUACACAGUAUCCAUGCAAUAUGUAAAUCAUGCAAUAUGGUUUAAUAUUAAAUUUAAUGCAACAGAACUAAUUGCUUAACUAGUUGAAAAAAACAGUAAUUUAAUUGUUUGACAUGGUGUUGCAGGUUCUUUAGGAUUUGGCCUCUUAAAGUUCCAGGUUUGCGACAGGAUUUAUAAUUUUGAAUUGGAUUGCACUCUCUUCAGAAUCUGUGGAGCUUUUACGUGCCAAUCAAAGUUUGAUCCACAAGUAACUAAGAAUUCAGUUGUUAAUACAUCAAGUAAUUUACCUGUAAGUACUUUCUUUCACCUUGGACUCUUUAAUCCCUUAUCUCAGCCAUAACUGAUUGGGACCUUGGCCUUGUGAACCCAAUAAAGUUCUCUUUCUUGUGAGACUAUUUUAGUGUACCAAAAUCGUAACCAAGUAGCUAGAGGGCCUACAGUCCUUGUUUAUGGGCUAUUUUCUGUUUUAAUAUAUACUUGAAAACCAGUUAUGUAUUUCGGCAUUGUGCUGAGUGUGAAUCCAAAUUAAUUGAGUACGUUAAAUUUUAUAUUGUUUAUUUUCUGAAGUUGAUUCGUUGGUUUGGGAUGUGAUAUGGUUGUUUCCCUUAUGAUUUUUGUUCUCCAUUCCCGUGGUAAUGAUCAAGAUAGUUCUGUUUUCCCCGGUAUAUUUAAGUAUUGUGAAUUUGGACAAGGGAAAACAAAAUUGUUUCGUGGCAGGACAAGAUGAAUCUAAAAGUUGAAUUUUUCUUUAAAUAAAAUUUAUUCUAAAUACUUCGUGAUGCAGAAAAUGAAUGGACUUAGUUUCCAGAUGUGUUCAUGUUUAACAUCAAAAUAUUCACAGAUAGCUUUGAGAUCUGUUUUUUUUCCUAAUUUGAUACUUUAUCUCACCUGAUAUUGUUAUUCUAAAUGGUUAAAAUAUGAUAAAUUGGUAAUAUACUUUAAAAAUGUUUUUAGUGAUUGUUCUAACAAAUAAAUCUUAGGGUCUUCAUUCAUUUUUUUUUAUUGAUUUUGGUUUUGAAAGUCAUAUUUAAGACUUUUUUUUUUACUUUGUUAAUUUCUUUACUAAAGGUUAAGAUUUUGAUUUUUUUUCUAUUUUAUUUUCCAUGUCUAUUGAUUUAUUUUUUCUAUUAUUUUGUUGAUUUUAUUAAUUUUAUCUUAAUUUAAUGAUAUAGGAUCAUGAUUUCUUGAAUUAGGGUUUAUUAAUUUACUUCUAAAUUUGUUUCCAUAUUAUUAUUUUACCUAUUUGUCAUUACUUGAUUAUGAUAGAACUCGAUCCACAUAAUAUUUUCAUUCCGUAAUACACUGUAAUGAUAGAUUGAUUCCUACUUAUCAGUACAUAGUCUUCUAGUCUUAAACCCUAAAAUUAUUAGGAUUCAUCAGAACUUUACUACAAUAAUAUAUUAAAAAUAAUAUUACUUUGAGUACUUUUGAAUUCCCUCUAUAUGUUCGUGUAUUUUCUGGAUCAAGUACUCACUUACUAAUAAUUUUAUAUUUGAUGUUUCAGGAAGGCAAAGUAUUGGACCAAGUGCCAUAACAAACUCAUUUAACAACGAGAGUGAAGGCAGACAAGACUUCUCCAAUGCAACAAUCAAAAUUGAAAGGUGUAGUUAUGCCUCAACUAGUAGUGUCAGUGUCGGUGUGAUAGCAAGCUCAUUCAACAACAAGGGCAAUGGCAUCCAAAACUUUAGCAAUGCCACAAUCAUAAUCAUCGGCAACUGUUGUGGCUCACUUGGUUUGCAUGGUAUCAUAUUUUACUGCUUAUUCCUUAGAGUUCUUGUUACACUACUGCUUAUCCCAACUAGAGAUCAACAUCUCCAUCUAACAAUACUGGAUUCAACUUGAUCCAAGGUUGAGGUCAAUUCUCCUUCAAGGGGCACUGCACUCGCCAAUAACAUUCAUUUAUGAUCCUCCAUAAUCUUCUCACCUACCAUGUCUAUGUCUUCUACCACCAGAUUCAAUUUUCGCCACAUCUUUGUAUGUUCCUCUUUCACUCACCAUGCUGGUUUAUAUUCAAUUUUUCUAUUUAAAAUAUAUAUGAACAUGCAUGCUCUUGUUUUUGUGCUCAACACCAGAAUCUCCACGUACUAAAGAUCUACAUUGAGUGAAAUAGAAAACAAAAAAAGUAGAAAACUAUAGGAAUGAAGAGUUGAUGCAAUUUUAUUCUUAUAUAAAUUACAUUAGAAAGUUUGCAACAGUUUUAUCCUAACAAAAUAUUUCUCUUAAUUAUGGUCAAUAUAAGACCUGCGAAAGUGUGUUUUUAUCUUAUUGUAUGAUUCUCAACAUUUGUGAGAAUUCCAACUUUAUGUCAAUUUAUGCAUGAUAUAAAUGAAGGACAGAAAAUUCCCAACAUUUGUGAGGAUUCCAACUUUAUGCCAAUUUAUGCAUGAUAUAAAUGAAUGACAAAAGUUGGAGUAAAUAGUUUCAUUAUAUAUGUGGGUCCUGGUUUGAUUAUUGAUAUCUAGAAGAUACUUUCUAAAAUAUCUAACUAGGAAUAUUCAGAAGAUUUUAGUAGUUUUGCUUUAUGAUGAAAGGUGUAUUUUAUAGGUUAUGGAUGUUUUUCUUUUUUACUCUGGGAUGCUAUACAAUACCAUCUAUUCUUUAAAGUUAUUAAGUCUGUACUAUCUUUAAUAAAUUUCAAAUAAGGAGUUAUUCCAUACUCUUUUUCUUCUCUUUAGGAAUAUUCUGUUAGUUUUAUUAGAUUUGUAUAUUAAUGAUUAGUAUAUCAUAAGUGAGGUAAUAUGGAAAAUGCUUUCUCUACCAAAUUGCUAUCUUCAACUAUAACUCUUGACUUUAAUGCAAUGUCGCGAGGUACAUGUAUUGUAGUUUAUCCACCUCUGGAAGGUUCUUAAUACAUAUCUUUUGAGACCUGAUGUUGGGUUUCGGUAAUUGAGUCUGCAAAUGUGCUUAAUCCAUCAAAUUGUGCCCAAAUCCUUCAUAGAUGGUCUUAAACAUUUUGUUUGAUAUAUUUGGGAUUUGUGCUGUGAUUAACUUUAAUUCCUUAUGAUUCAAGAAAAAGUGAUUCUAGUAAUAUGACAUUUUAUAUAAUACGUGCUAAAAUAUUAUUAAAAAAUUCACUGAAAGUAUUGAAAUUUCGUGUACAUGUAUGAAGGCAUUGUCCUGACUAACUAAUGGUUUUAUAUUUGAUGUCUUACAGGAAGUCGAAGUAUUGAACACGGUGUUGUAAACUCAUUCAACAACGAAGGCAAUGGGUUACAGGACUUCAGCAAUUCAACAAUCAUAGUUGGAAGUUGUAGCUGUACCUCAACUUGUGUGGAACUGAAGACUUAUCAAACGGGUUUGAUUAAGAAAAACAUUGAAACUGGAUGAGGCAUGUUAAACCUUUGAGAUGAGGCCAUAAUGUUUUCAAACAGUUAUUGACUGAAGAACCCUUUGGAAAACAAAGUAGCCAUUAGCCAAUAGGGUUGAAGAAAGCUCAAUUUUUGGAAAUCUUUCAAUUAUGCUGAUUGUUGAUUGUGUUUUGGCACUUUAGAUGAACUUGAU